AGUUUUGGGCUAUGUCUUAGACUAGGGAAACUCGGGGGAAGGGUACGCGCUAUUCAUUCAGAGAGGUUCUGCAGUUCCCCGUGGGCGGUGUCAACGGGCUGCUCAGCAAGGGCAACGAUGCCGAGAGGGUCGGGGGCUGCACGCUAGCGUACCUGCCGGCGGUUCUGGAGUACCUGGCCUCCGACACCCUGGAGUUGGCGGGCAACGCCGUCGGAACAAGAAGAAGACCCGCAUCAUCCCGCGCCACCUGCAGCUGGCCAUCCGCAACGACAAGGAGCUCGACAAGCUGCUGGCCCGAGUGACAAUGGCUUAGGGUGACGUUUUGCCCAACAUCCAAGCUGUGCUGCUGUCCCAAAGGAUUGGGAGCCACUACCACAAAGUCCAGUAUGAAUAACCACCCAAGUUGUAAAAGCCAGCGAAGUGACUUGA
rnacentral:lncRNA from 1 species